rnacentral:rRNA from 1 species
UAAGGAAUAUUGGUCAAUGGACGCAAGUCUGAACCAGCCAUGCCGCGUGGAGGAUGAAGGUCCUCUGGAUUGUAAACUUCUUUUAUCGGAGAAGAAACCCUCAAAUUCUUUUGGGGUUGACGGUACCCGAUGAAUAAGCACCGGCUAACUCCGUGCCAGCAGCCGCGGUAAUACGGAGGGUGCAAGCGUUAUCCGGAUUCACUGGGUUUAAAGGGUGCGUAGGUGGGUUGGUAAGUCAGUGGUGAAAUCUCCGGGCUUAACUCGGAAACUGCCGUUGAUACUAUCAAUCUUGAAUCUCGUGGAGGUAAGCGGAAUAUGUCAUGUAGCGGUGAAAUGCUUAGAUAUGACAUAGAACACCGAUAGCGAAGGCAGCUUGCUACACGAGUAUUGACACUGAGGCACGAAAGCGUGGGGAUCAAAC